UUGGUUGCACUAUUGUGAUUUGCUCUUUCGGCCAUGAGCACCACCAGUCGGUGGGGCCUUUUUCUGUUUCAUGCAAAAAUCAAAAUCAUAAAUAAAUCAUACCUUACACCAUUAUCUCACCAAUACGAUGAUCUCGUAGCUCGUAAAGCAUCUGAUUUUUCUUUACGAGUGGCUGAUCUUCUCUUUUCUCACCCUCCUCUUUAACAUGGAC
rnacentral:lncRNA from 1 species